rnacentral:lncRNA from 1 species
AGUCCAAUUAAGGAGGGUUUUGGCAGCAAGCUGCGUGUCUCUCUGGGGCCCACAUGGCAAGCCACUGGUGCUGGGACUAGUUCCGUUACCAGACUCCAGAGAAUCUGUGUCAAACCAGGGCCUCGGUUCAGGUGCAUAACUUUUAAGGCAGGAUGGAUGAGCUAAACAAGGGAACUCUUAUAGGAUGAAUGAAUGAAGAAAGUAACUGUGACCUCCCAUUUAUAGGCAUCUUACAGUUUACGAACCACUCCCUAUUCUGGCCAUUUCAAUAGUUACGUCAAGAUGAUCACAAGAUGCAAUAGGAAGGUCUUCUCUUGAUGCUCUUUCUGUCCACACCUGAUAUGGAAACAGUUUCAACAGGUAAAGCAACUCUGCCUAUGGGAUGGGGAUCAAGGAGAACACUUUACCUGACAGCUGUUUGCCUCCUUACCUCGUCUCUGCACAAUGGAGAGAAUCCUGCUUUGGCCUCAGCGCUGCUGUCCCCCUGCCUCUGCCCAGGAAGAUGAGCCCUGAGCUAACAUCUGCUGCCAAUCCUCCUCUUUUUGCUGAGGAGGACU